CCAGCCCAGAAACGAGCGGGCGGCCGGAAAGAGAAGAAACAGAGAGGACGGCUUCUCUAGGAGAGGACGGCGGCUGCCGCAGCUCUGGUCACACAGCAGAGUUACUGGGAUGUGAUCUACUGGGAUCUACUGCCCCUUAGGAUAUUCAAGGGACCUGCUGCUGUACGUGAAAAGCCAACCAAAGAUAGGAUGAGAGGAAGAACCAAAAUGCUUCCCUGCUGAGCUGUCUGCCAGAUCUUGGGGGUUUUAAUCAACCAGUCAUGAGAUUCUUUGCUGUUCUAGGACAAUCCACUUACCUUAUGGCAAAAUUUCUGGAAAGAUACCAGCAGAUAGUGACCACAAAAUCCUGUGCAUUCUUGGAUCUGCGUGUUGCUUAUGAACUUAAGGAUGGAAAAGAACAGUGAAGAGUUACCUUGGGUAAGAGACAUUCUUAAAAAUGCAUUAUGAGUACACAUGUAGCAAAUUAGCAAUACUGACUUGAUCUGGCGCCGGAAUCAUCCUUAAGAGACAAACAUUGGGGCGAUGGGUCUGCCUUUGUGGCUCCUUGAUGCUGUAGACACCAGGUGGAUGAAGCUGCAGAGUUGGUGUGCAAGGUGGGGGCAGGGGAAGGCGAGGCUGCUACCUGUUUACAGAAGCUCAGAUGGGUACCACUUCAUUUAAAGCCCCUGGCCAUCAAGAAGCUAUCCCAGCAACCACA